rnacentral:rRNA from 14 species
GGGCGUGUGGGGGAUGUCUUGGCGCCGGGAGGCUCAAGGGCGCGACAGGCGGCGAAACGCCCGGGGGAGCGGUCAAGUGCGCUCUGAUCCCGGGAUCCCCGAGCCAACGGGGGGAACUGAAACAUCUCAGUACCCCCAGGAAGAGAAAGAAACCUCGAUUCCGUCAGUAGCGGCGAGCGAACGCGGACGAGCCCAAACCGUGGGGGUAACCCCACGGGGUUGUAGGACCACCAGUAGGACUCUGACCGCAAGCGGAACGGCGUGGAACCGCCGGCCACAGAGGGUGAAAGCCCCGUAUGCGAACGCGGGAGGAGCCGGGUGGGAUCCUGAGUACGACCCAACACGUGGAAGUGGGUCCGAAUCCGCGGGGACCAUCCCGCAAGGCUAAAUACUCCCCGGCGACCGAUAGCGCAGAGUAGCGCGAGCGAACGAUGGGAAGAACCCCGAGAGGGGAGGACAGUGAACCUGAAACCACACGCCUACAAGCGGUGGGAGGGCUACGCCCGUAAGGGCAGGCCUGACCGCGUGCCUUUUGCAUAAUGAUCCGGCGACUUGCCGUCGGCGGCAUGGUUAAGGCCCUCUGGGCCGCAGCCGCAGGGAAACCGAGUCCCAACGGGGCGUUGGGUCGCCGGCGGCAGACGCGAAACCACGUGACCGACGCCCGGCCAGGACGAAGGUGGGGUAACACCCACUGGACGACCGAACUCACGAGUGUUGAAAAACUCGGGGAUGAGCCGGGCGGGGGAGUGAAAGUCUAAUCAAACGUGGAGAUAGCUCGUUCUCUCCGAAAUAACUUUAGGGUUAGCGUCGGGCUAGUUGGUGCGGGGGGUAGAGCGACUGAUUCCGAACGGGG